GAUGAAGAACGUAGCGAAAUGCGAUAAGUAAUGUGAAUUGCAGAAUUCAGUGAAUCAUCGAAUCUUUGAACGCACAUUGCGCCCCUUGGUAUUCCGAGGGGCAUGCCUGUUCGAGCGUCAUUAUAACCCCUCAAGCUCAGCUUGGUGUUGGGGCCUGCUGCACUGGCAGCCCUUAAAAUCAGUGGCGGCGCCAUCUGGCUCUAAGCGUAGUAAUUCUUCUCGCUAUGGAGUCCUGGUGGAUGCUUGCCAUCAACCCCCAAUUUUUCUAUGGUUUACCUCGGAUCAGGUAGGGAUACCCGCUGAACUUAAGCAUAUCAAUAAUCGGAGGA
rnacentral:misc_RNA from 1 species